CACUCACCCCCAACAUCCCCCCGCGUGCAAGGCUGGUGGCUCCAUUGUGUGACCUGUUCUCACACUGUUCCAUCUCCACAUCACGCAGCCAGCCUUUCACAGCAGCAAUUCAGCAGCAACAAUCACACACUCACGCCUCAAAAAAAGACCUCUUGCUCCCUUUGCCAACCAAUUAAGAGCCAUCUGGGCUUGGAUGCAGUAAGAAAGCUCCUACAAAAUCACAACUGUUUUCAUAUUUUCACGAUAAGUUUUCAAUGUGGAGACUCAAGUGUAAAAAAAUAAACAACAAAGCUUUGUUUCCAUGAUACGUCUUUGCUUUCUGGAAAAUAAAUUAUUGUUAAUAUUUCGUCAAUUUGCACAGAGCCAGUGGAGGGCACAACGCAGUUUAAAAACAUGACAGAGCAAGUCAUUGCUUUUGAAGCUGCCAUGCAAGUGUGUGAUUCCCGAUGAACUUGAGGUCAUAGAUUCCCAGUGGCUGCGUAGGGCAGGGAAUGGAGAGCAGCAGGGUUCAAGCCUUGGGUCACUGGAGCUUCAGAAGUGGCCAGCCAGCUUUGUCCCAGGAGGGAUGAUGGUGACGGAUUCACUGGUGUUUUCUCAAGGUCCACUGAACCCUACAGCAAAGACUCCAACUUAGAGCCUGCAGAAAGAGGGAGCACUCCUCUCAUCUCCAGUUCACAGAACUCCAAAAGAGGGGCCGUCUGGACGGACUCCAGGAUGCCUCGAGAUACACGAAAUCCAGCCGCAACCUCACGGUGGCACUGCCAAACCUCAUUUCAAUCUUUUCCUCCAUGUAUAAUCUGCAGUACACAUUAGGCCUCUGACAUGCACCGUAAUGGUUCAUUUCCCCAUUGUAGGGAAGUGUUGAACCACUGUGUUGUCAAGUAGGCUUUAUAAGGCAAAAAGAUAUGAAUAGAAACUCCACCCUGUCUUUUUUCUUUUCAAUCUAACUAAGUUAAAAGGCUUACUUACCCCUAAUCAAAAUGGCAAGCCCACUGGCAUGGUAUGUCCCAGCUGUGGUCCUGGCGCAGCAUUUCCCUUCUCCCCGUACAUUGUUCUGGGCAGCACAUCCAAGAGCUCUUGCUGUGUUAUGUACUUAACUGAGGUCAGAGUUGUCAUUAUCUGGGUCUUGUUGGCACUAAGGCCUCCUCUGAUGAUGGGACUCCUUUCAGACCUUCAGCUUUUAGCACUCCUAAGAGCUAACCUCUGUGAAGACCAGGCAAUCGACCACCUGCAAAUCUAGCCCAGGGCUUGGACUGUGUUUAAAUGAGUAUGCUUUAUGACAUCCUGUCACAUGUGUGCUGUUUGCCCUGACCUGGUGUAAGUUUAGCACAGAUGCUCCAAGAUUUACCUCUGAUCUUUUUUUUUUUGCGGGGGAUUAGUAAAGUUUAUAUGUACAGACAGGAGACUUAUGUUCAGUCGUUAAUUAGGUGGCCCAAAAUGACUGCAGGGCACAGCCCUGCCAUCCAAAAACGAAUCAAAAUCUAGUGCCUGGAUUGAACCUCCAUGACAAACUCAGAAUACAUUGCAGGUGUAUUGUCUUUCGUUUUUUCUUCUAUCGAAUCAACAUUUUAAAGCUUGCUCAACAUACAUAUUGUGGAAUUGAUCUAUAGAAGCAUUUUGGCAUGGAUUGAGGGAAGAACACAACAGGAGAUGAGUGUUUGAGGAGGCUUGGGUUUUAUUUCCUGAUCUAAGCACUGCCGUAGCCAUUCUAGCAACACUUCCUCAUUCAUGUCAGCCCCAUGGUGUUACUCUGUUAGGACUUAUUUUUCAGAAUGUACUGCAUUUUGAAAAGAUUCAUCUCCCCCAUGCCUCUCUUGUUCUUUCAUUAUCUUGCUCUCCCUCUCUGUUUCUCUCUGUCUUACAAACACACACACAGCAACAUGCAUACAACCAGACCACUCCUCUUAAAACCGGUUCUCAUCCCAAUAGCAAUUUUGUCAGAAGUUGACAAUGUCUUGAUUUAGUUGUCUGGCUGUUCCGGCCAGUUUUCCCUGCUGCGCUAAUGUGAACAGGACAUCCUGCUGGGCACCAAAGAAUACCACUUCACGGCAGCCGCGUAGCUGGCAGCUUUUAUUUGUGGUGCUACCGAAAUGAAUGGGUAUUAGUGUCCAAACAUUUCACCAUGCUCCUGCAGCCACACACAAAAGCCACUGAUUUCCAGCAAAUCUGCACUUAUUUUAUUCAAGAAGACCAAAGCUAGGGAGAGGGAGAGAGAGACAGACAGAGAGAGAAAACAUUUAUAAUGACUUAAAAGACCUCAAAAGAAGAAUAGGAAUUUCAUUUGAAAAGGAUUUACCAGACAGAAAUCGAAAAGAAAAAAAUGCUCCCUCCAUUUCAUUGCAUUUUUGUCAGAGUUGAAAAUGGAAAAUAUCUUUAUCCCUAAAAUUACUCAACUUAAGUGCUUAUAUUCACAGAAACUGCACUUCCUUCACAAUCACCCAGUUGCUCUGUUUUGUCUGUCAGUACAAAGCAUUGUAUUUUAUAGGACUGUACCAGGAAGGAAAUAGUAAUUUUAUCAUUGCUAAAAUUGUUGAUUUAAAGUGUCUUCAAAAAAAUCACUCUUGCUGCCAUUUUGCAAUCCAGGCUGCCUACUGUCUUGUUAACCUAUGAAUUUUAAGUGGACUGUUCCCAUUAGAUAGCAGUAGUACUGCUGACUCCUCUUGGCUUUUCUGUAGGGAGCAGGCUGAGGCAGAGUACUCUCCUGGCCCGGCGCUGCACUUUGCCUGGUUUCUGUGUCCAGGACCUCAUCAGCACAGAGUCCGCCUGUCCUCGUGUCCCUGCCACUCACCUCCCUGCUCUUCAUCUGUCAUUCCUGCCCUUCUGCAAACACACUCCACUGACAUUUUGAAAAACUCUGGCAUUCACCCUCAAUAUGGAUCUUUGUUGAUUAUAGCUUUCUGUCUGUGAAGAUUGCACGUAUUAUUGACUUUGCAAUCCCAUGACUAUUUGCACAGCUUUUUCCUCCUCUCUGCAUCUCGGUGAAGUCCAGCAAUAAUAUUCCCCCUGGUUUCUCAUAACCUCUUUUCAUUAUCCUUUCUUUUUUCAUAUUUUUCUUUUUUUCUCCAUAUAUUUUACUAAUCCCCUCUGGCUGUGACCCUUUCUUUAUGCCACCAGAGAUCAGAGUUUCUGCAAAGCUUCGGUCACUGAUGUCGUUAAGAUUGGGAUCUGAUACACUAGAUGUCCAUUGGUUAAAUGCCCCUGGCCUGAACUCCCUAUUGUCCCCUAAUUCCAAGCGGCAGCUCUGUUUCACUUGCUGCAUAAUAGCCCAUAGGUUAAAGUUCUGCUGCUUUUGCUUUGAAUUUACAUCUUUCACAGGCUCCAGUCUCUUGUUCUAAGCUGGCGUUUUCUUUUUUUUUGCCUUCUUUCAUUUCUAGUGAGCCUCAUUGCCUGCAGGCAGCUCGGCUGUUUGUGCCGUAGCUUUCCUGACAAUCUCCCACAUCCAGGCAUCUUUGGGAGGGUCAGAGGAGAGCAACUUGACUUAACAGGUCAAAGUAAGUGGGCUCCGCCCUUCUCCAGAGGGGGAGCCAUGGAGCCCUCCAUUAGGAGCUGACCUCCACGUUGCUGUGGUCUGGCCCUAGCCAUGGAAUCACAUGGCUCUGCCUGAGACAGGCUGCUCAUUAAAGCCCGCUGCCCAUAGCAGGAUUAGGACUUUUCAUGGUUUAUCCUCGACUCUGACAACUGACAAUGGGCGAGGAUAGCUGCUUCAAAUGGAGUGUGCAUAUGAAUCAUGGAAUUAUAAUUGCUCUUUCAUGAUGAGAAUAUUGGAAAAUCUAUCCACAUCCACAAUGCAAAGAAUUAAUUGGGGUCUGUUUUCAAGGGCACAUUGUUACACUAUAUGAGCCCAAGAAAACGGGCAGGGUGGUAAUGAGGCAUUCUCAAUACAGCACAGCAUCUUUUUCACAGUACCUGUACACAGGCUGCUGUUUGCACACACACACACACACACACACACACACACACACACACACACUUGAAUAUCUUCUGACUGUAACCUUUACCCGUCAUGAUACUUUUACUCCCAAGUUUCACUGCGCUUAAUACACAAUGGAGUGCCCCUGUUUACUUGUGUUGUGAUGUUUUCAAAGAGCAACCCCAUUAACAGUGGUGGCCCAUUCCCCAUGACCCAGUGGUAGCUACCUAAGGGCGUGCGGGUUACGGAGGGCCGUAGCUUGGGCUCUGAGUAGGAAACUAAGAUGACACUACCUCUUGAGCUGUGUGGGAGGGAGAGAGCUGGUAAUAGCGAGGCAACAGAACCGCUAUCUGCAGCACCAAGCCCCAGUCAUGCUUCUUAUUUACACCACAACUCUGUCUGUUUUCAUUAUUCAUAUUUCAUGUGGUAUCAUGGCAUGAAAGAGUUAUUUCCUUGAUGGCAGAGGGCAGGUUACAGCUAGCUCUCAGGCCGCACGGCUCAGAACGGCUCAGAACAAGAGGGUGGCUUUUCUGGGUUCAAAGCAUCAAAACAGCCUGCAGAAAUAGAAAAGAAACAUUUCCCCUGAGACGGAAUGCCCAAUCCUCUUUAGUUAUCCAGAACAUGUGGCUUUACAUAAAUCAGUCUAAAAAUCUGAAGGUAAAAUUGUCUUCCAAAUCCUUGCUUAUAACUGUGGAUUGAAGUAAAACAAUGAAUUCAAAUUAUUACCCAAUUAAAAGUGUGAACAACACCAUCAUCAUUUACAUAUGUAAUGAAGCUUUUUCACACUCAUCUGUAGUAAAUACAAUGUGAUAUGGUCCAGGUAUAUUUAAAAGGUGUUAAUGAGCUGCUGGUUUAAUACUCUUUUAUAUUUCAAAUUAUUUCGCUAUCAAUAACCACAUGUCAUUUUUAGAAAAAGCAUGCAUGUUUAAGUUUUUGUUUAGUUUACAUUUCUUUCUCGAAUUUUGGAGAAAAAAAAUGGUUUCCGACACUAAGUGGCGGAUGUGCUCUCACACCAUGUAUAAAUAAAUAAAUCACAUGAGUAGAUUUCUUUUUACAGUAUUUAACUGAUUUAAAAUUGAAAGAAAAAUCAUAUUUGACCUGUUUGGCCAAGACUCAAUAUUAUUCAUUUUAAUUUUAAUGACCACAUAAUAAACAGGAAAAAACUUGUAGAAAAUGAAUUUAGUUUUGUGAGCAACAGAGACAUUCUUUUGGAGUGCUAUCAAAAACAGAAAGAGGCCAGAGAAAAGAAGAACUGAAAGUCUGUUAGCAACGCAAUUAAACUCUGGUAAUGAGGUCAGACAUCAGAUCCAGUGCAAGUGAUAUCAUUACGCAGGCUGAACGGAACGGGCCGGGCCGCUCCAGCUGCCAUGGUCUUGCUGUGGGAUUAGACUCAACUGUCCUGAGUGCUGCACUUUUACUAGGCUGACCCCUGCCUGCCACUGGGGCACCAGCCACCCCCUGGGCUCCUGGGGGGCUUUGGACCCCAGUCCUGGUGCCUGUGGCACCAACAGGACUGCGGAGAAGUGAACUGUGCUGCCACGUGGGAUGACAGGACUCGCCACUCCAUUAGAAAGCACAGAGACAGACAGGCACCAGCACACAAUCCACCCUGUGUUGACAACUACAAAUUACUGGGUUCCUCUACUUCAGUCAGCUCAUUUGUAAAAAAACAACGAACAAUGACUAGGUGAUAAAAGGACAUUGUAUCAGUGAUUAGAGUGCUGCGUUUGAACCUGUUGAUGAUUAAGAUUUGGCUCACAAAUAUAACAACUUUAUGCUGUUUUUUUUGAGAAGGAAUCCUUUUUGUUUAGUUAAAUUUGUGGUACAUACUUGCAAACGAGAUUGAAAUAAUGAAACAUACAGAUUGUUAGCAGUCUAAUUUUCCUUCCCUAUUGUUUAGAGCCUCGUUUGCAAAGUCCCUCGCAGGAGUCGGCUUAAUUUGUCUUUUCUUAUUUGGUCUGCUUGUGUGUUUCGUGCUGUUCUCUUUUUGUCUCCCAUGAUUACUUUGAGGAUAUCGUUAUGACAUUCAGCAGCAACAAUAAUUCUUCUGUUCUAAUUCAUAUCAAUUAGUAGGGGAUGGUAAUUCAAACUGACGGCACAGUGCAUCUUGAAAGGCUUGCGAGGAUGUUGUGGCGGCAGCAUCCCUGUGCAGCCAAAAGCCACCCUCCUUUCCCCUUUCUUCCCCCUUUCUGUCUUUCAGUCCACAACAAGGGCCUCCAAGCAAAGAGGACAAUACAAGUCGGAGCCAGUACUUUGAUAAUUAGUUAUUGAUUGAGAACAAUGGCAUGGCGUACACUGUCGUAUUAGCUAGACGCCAGUAGGUCGCGACACCGAGAGCAGCCAUCAAGAAACGAGGGCCAAAACAUGCCUGACUCCCCUAAUAAGAUAUUCCUUCAUGUUUUUCUCUUUCAUUUCACUCCUCUUUUUCCUUCCUCAGGCAUGUUAGUGUUCAGGCUACAUGGGGUCAAAAGUAUUAAUGCUCGUGCACAAACGAGCCUCUGAUGAAGGAGAAUUUAAUUAGAGAAUGCCCACUCAGGCUUCUCAUACCACGUUGCCCUGUUUUUUCUUUAUUUUGUCUUUCUUUGUACGACAGUGUCCAGAAAUAUAUAUAUAUUUGAAACAUUGUGAAUUUUCUGGCACUGCUAGUAUUGUUUUCAUAACAUACAGGAAUAGUGAUUGCCAAAUGAAACACUCAUACAAAUAAUGUGAAGCAGUGUUGUAUAUCAAAGACCACAUAUUCCUGCGUGAAUUAUAUUUCAUGGCAAGAGUCUGUCGGAUUGGUGUAAACUUGGCCAGCAUUUAAAUAGAAAAAUUAAACACUAUCUGGCUAUUAUUUUACACACGUGAUUGACCCGAACUGUACGUAUCACAUUCUAUCUGACAAUAUGGUUGUCUAGAGUAAAAAGCACACAUAUUGAUGUUUACGGUGGCUGAUGCACGUCAGAGAUGGUGUCAUUCAGUGAAAGUUUGGCUUUCAACCAAGCUGUGUUUACAUAUAAUAGAAUAUCCUGAAAUAAUUGGUAGGUCUCCUUGCUAAAGAGGGAUGUGUCAGGUUCGGUAUUAUUGUGAAAGAAGCUCCCUAACUCGCUUCACCUGAUCCGUGGCCUGUAAAGAUGCACCUGGCAUUAAACAGACAGGGCAGGAGCAUCAACUGAACAAUGGAGGACUGUCAGGACCGACAGCAGGGCACGGCUCUGCCAUCACUGCUCUGACAGGGAGGGCCUCAGAGGGUAAACUGCUUUGCUGGAACUAAUUAAACAGAUGAAGUUAUGACAUGAAUAUGCAGAUGUUGUUUACAUUUUACCAUAUGGUAUUAUUUCAGGUAUUAAAGCACAGGAGAGCCUUCCCACUCAUUAAUGUGAAGGGAUGGAGUGAAAACACCGUCUAUCAAGAGACACUCUGAGCGUGUUUCGAGAGAUAUGAUCAGACUGACACUCGGGUGUUGAAAUCUAUUUCAAGCCACCCAAUUAACAUACAUGUUGAUAGCUAUUACAUUUUGAUUUAAAUCAUUGGUGUAAUGGAUGUUGGAUAAGCUAUUCCUCAUUGAAAGUAGAAUUUAUUCUUCAAAUUUAUACCUACAUUUAAAGUGUAAAUUUAAUUAUCACAACAUUUAGCAGUCUAUGACAUUAUUUUACUCCACAGCCUCCUAUUUGCAUUUUACUUCGAUAGAGUUGUACAGUUCAAUCAUUUUUCAGAGCUGCUAUAUGUCUUUAGGUUCCUGCUCAGAGAUGCCUCAGUACAACUGCCACAAAGCCAGUUUAAUUCUCAAUACGCAACCUGCAUUUAACUCAACUUCUCAAUUUUUUUCUGUUUUUGCAAAGUAUUAAAAGAAGUAGAACUGUCUGAGUUCUUUUCCCCCCAGUUUUGUGUGCAGCCUUACCAUUCCCCGGGAGCGGGUGCUGAGAGGUUAAGAGGAAAAGGGCCGAUGGAGUCGCGUUUAGUAAGAAGUGUGGGAUCACGGGGGCCAGCUGGUGGGGUGAUGGGGAGCGUAAUUGUGCCCGCUGUGUGGAUAGGGUGGGGGGUGAAAGGAUGGGGUGAGAAGCCCUGGAAAAAAAGGGAGGGGAGGGGACACCUCAAUUACCUGUGCUCCCUCUGACCCCUCUCUCCCUCUGUCUCUCCAUGGACAGACACACUGUCUGAGAGGCGGGGCGCGUUUCCACAGGCAGAUGCACAUCCCCCUCCUUUGUUCAAGAUAGCAUUCGCUUCUUUUUCCUGAACUGCAGAAACUUAAUUGCAACAACCUCCCCUCUAAUGCGUUUCUCCUUUAUUUGUCACUGUCAAAAAAUGUGAAUUUUCACUUUAAAAGAAAAAAAAAAAUCAAAACAUUUUUCUGUUAUGUAUUCAUGUUUGAUCACGGAACUUGGUCAGGCGAUAUUUGAUUAAAGAUGUACAACAAAAUAAAAAACACAUUUACCUGAACUGAGCAGUUCGCUCAAACAUAUUCAGCAGGUUACAUGCAGCUGUCAUAGUUUAUUUUGGAGCUCCUGCUUGGGCUGAUACAGUAAGUGACAGAGACUGGUGUAAAAUCAAUACUUCACAGGAGUGUGAUGUCUUAAUAAACUCUCUGUGUUGUUCAGACAGGAAAGCUAGACAUGUACGAGAAGGACUACAGCGCAGGCCAUUGUGAAGCUGUCAAGUCUAGCCCUCAAAAGCAGAUGAAGCUGUCAGAUUAUUAAUAUAUUUAUACUGACAGGCCCCAAGUCCACCCCUAAAACCCUCCCCUCUUUCAAUGUCUCUCAAAAAAUAUGCUCAGCUUCAAAGACAGAGGCCACAGGGUUGGAUGCAAGGUCAAAGGCCAAAUACAUUUUGAAAGCAAAUUCUCUUCCUUUUGCAACCUGUUUUUAUUGCUGUCGCUCCCCUUCUCUGUGGCGACCAUUCAGCUGAAACUUAGGCUGAAUUGGCAGCAGCUUUCAAAGCGCUUGGCAGCCUGGUGAUCCUCAGGAGCUCUCAGCUGACAUCUCUCUGGGCUUGUCUAUGCUCAGGGGUCAGCCCGAGCCCUGACUCCCAGGACCCACUCACUCAGGCGCUACCAUGAGUCAGUCCCGCAGACUGAAAUUAAAAUGUGAAAAGCGGUGCGACUGAAGGCAUUCCUCGCCCCCCAUGGCAUUCUCCUUUCUCUGUGACAGUUCCUCUGAGACUGCUUUUUCUUUCAUGUUUCUUUUUUCCCUUUAGAUUAUUUAACAACAUGCGAACAGAGCUGUCAAGGAGAGACAUGCUUGAUCGACAGAGCAAGGGAGUGUCUUAGUCAACACGGGGUUAAAUUCGAUUUUCUGCAUGUUCAGUACGCUAGUCUCAAGCCAGUUAUUGCCUUAGCUUGAUGUUUUUUGAUGGAUCAAUUAUCCAUUAUAACAUGUUGCGAAGCCAAACAUAACGGCAACUAUGACACCUGUCACAAUCUUCUAUUAGGGUACGGAAAUUGAAAUAAUUUAAUGACAGCUAAUUUAGUCUUUGUUUUGAAUCUCAUUAUGGCCGCAGUAAUUGUGUUCUAUAAAAAAACCGAAAGUGUAUGACUGCACACUCAAAGUAAAGUCCCCAGACUAGAGCUAUUAAUUUGAUAUCUCUCAAUGAAAACAGAAGAUAAAUAAUGAAUACUUUUUUGCUUUAUCAGAUUCAGACAAACACAAGUUUGAAAAGACGAUGAGAUCUUGGAGAUUUUUUUUCUACUUUAAUGCCCAGUUUAGAUUAAGCUAAAGUCUGAGAUAACGCUGCGGAAAACAGGCAAGAAAACCACAACAAAGCCUCAAUAUUAAACAGUUAUACAAAGCAGUGCUGUUAGUGAACAUAUGGAAUCAUUUAGGAAUCAACAAAAAAUGUUGAAGGAAUAUUUUGUUAUCUUUAAAAAAUAUACAUAAACGUUCUGGCUAACAUAAAAUACAACAGUACAGUUUGUCUGAUGCCGAGACGGUUUCGAACCCGCCCAACAGUCUGAAAUGCUGAUGAGAAUUUACAAUUAUCUCCACAUCAUAUUUAGCUCCUCACCCCGUAAUAAGUAAAUAUUACUUCAGAUAGGGACAAAAGCGCAGCUAGCUGAAUAGAUGUGAUAUGCUUGUCAAUAACACGUAUGUGAGAAAGCUGCGUGGGAGCGUCUUAUCGGUACAUGUGUGCAUAUACUUGAAUUUGCAAGUAAAGAGCCUUAUUGGGAUUACCCACGGUACAUUCUAGUUGGUAUCAUAAAGAGAAUAAGGGACUAGAUGUGUCUCCCUUUUUUUUCAGGGAUUCGGUAAGCUCUCUGUCAAUGGUUUGGAGUUGAAUUGCCCCGGAUAGCUCCCCUCAUUCCAUGGAAUGAUCUCAGACCUAAUUUACUGGGCAGCUCAGGAUCCAAAGCAUACAAGGCUCUCCUCUGCAUAGAAUGUGUGAAAUAGAUAGAGCAGCCAUCCCUCAGAUGUGCUGAAGUAAUCUUCAGCCAGAGCUGGUCCAGCAGGCCUCACCCCUAAAGGGAUUGAUGCAGUGUCAAAACCUUUGGCUCAGGGGUCAUCCUCUCUUCUUGCCUCUCCAAUCUCGACAAAAGCUGAAUUUCUUUCCCUCACUAUUCGUUUCUCUUUUUUCUUCUAUUGAAUUCAUCAGCGAGGGAGGCAUGAGAUGUGAGAUGUGAAUGAAACAUUUUCAUUAGAAGGGAGGAGAAUCCCCGGUCAGAGACAAGGCCGGAGCUGAUCUGAGCCAAUGACAUCCCCACCAAUUCUUUCCUUUUUUUUUUUUUUGUCCUUCUUACUUUACCCAGCUGUCAUUCUCUGCGGUAUGUGGCAAGCUGAUUGAAAUCAGCACUGUGUCAGGGCCAUCAUAUCUCAGGGAGACAUAAAACAUGCAGAAACAUCAAUAAGCAACAGGCCGCUGACAGCUUUCAGGCACCGAUGGUGGCGAGGAGAGAUGAGGGGAAGGUUAGGACUCUGGGGGGAUGCUGUGCAGUUGAAGUGUCUUCUUCAGGCUUCACUGAGACCCAGGGAAGACAAGAUAAAGUCUAUCAGGUUAUCGCCUAGUUCAAGUUGCUUCUCGGACAGCAAGGCCACUGGGACACUGGAUGUCAGAAGAUCUGUGCGUGCGUGUGCAAGCUUAUGUGUGUGCUUCUGUGGGUCUGUGUGUGUGCUUGUGCAGGUGUAUGGUAAUAGGGGGAAAGAACAGAGAGAGAGACGUUGCUUCUAACUAUAAAUCUAGUGCACUGCCAUUUCAUUUUUCACUGCAUGAUGAGCAUUGUGUCGUUCACUAAAUGUAAUUUAUGUGCUCAAGCUGUCAAAUGAAUAUUUAGAAUUAUAUUUCUUGGUAUUUGUAUUUGCAAAAUACCUCAAACAUAUGUUCCACGACAAACAUUGCAAAUCGGCCAUUUUUGUCAUAUGUGCUGGUGAAGUAAGAUUGAUAAUGCACUAGUUAUACCUGGUAGCGAGGGCCAAGAGAUGCUUUGGGAUUUUCAAUGUGUAUUUAAUUCACUAAUGGGAGGUAAAGGUGAUAGUCUGUUAGAUCGCAGCCUGACACUGCCUCUUACCACUGCUAAUUAGGCAAGUUUUUUGCCCAGAAGAAACUGCUGAAUCUGUCGUUUCUCAUGCCUGAUAAUGGUCGUCACGGUGCCCUAACCUACCUGUUUGGAAUUAUGAUACGGCACAAAUAAUCAGCUUUACAGGAUCCUGACUUUGAUGGGGUAUAUUCACCAGUAAUUAGGACGACAUAGAAGUCUAUGAAGGGAGCUGAGUUUUGGCUGAAGUGGAAGUUUCCCCAAAGUUGAAGCCUAUUAUUUUUGUGUUGAUGGGUUAACGCUGUGGACAGGCGCCCAUCUACAUAUCAAAUGUGACUCCCAUUAUUUUAUUAUUUUAGUUUCUCUCUGCUAACGGCGCCUCCCGGCACUCCUCCAUGUUCUCCUCCAUCUGCCUCCUGUCCAUUGAUCAGCCUUCCGGGGCAUCAGUCUGUUUAACAUCUGCUACAAGUUCUAGCAGCUCAGAUGCGCAGAGGCUGUAAUGAAGAGCUCUUGAACUCGCAGUCAGAGAAGCUGUGACAGGAGUUCAGAAGGAUGCCUCUUUGGCUCAGCUGGACGUACGACACACACCAGAACACACUCAGGCGCACAUACACCCAGAGACAGCAAGAGACAGCAACAAACAGCUAAUACAGAAAUCAAAAUGAAGCUGUCACUCACACGUUGUUUCACAAAUCACUAGCUUUUCAUUUAUAGUGUCCAAUGUCCAAUCUUUAUACUGAUAUUGGAAAAAUAUCAAAAAUCUAUCUCUGCGCCUCUGUUCUUUUAUUUUCUGUUUUCCUCAAUAAUAUUUACUUUUGGGAACCGCUUUGACAUGAACUUAGAGGUUACAAACUUAAUAUGAUCAUGGAGGCAUAACUUUGAGUUUGUGAGUUAUAAAAGCAGCCGUAGCCGAGCUAUAUUAUCAAGCCUGUGAUACUGCAGCACAUCUUUGGGCAGGUACAUUUUAUUUGGAGUUUUUGCCUUCAGGCCCUGAAUUGAAAUGGAAGACCAAAUAGCAAGUGCACCAUUCCCAGCUCUCUGCAGCUUCCCAACACAAACUGGUCAAGCAGAAAUGAGACCUGCAUCAAUUUUAAUUUGUAUUUAUCCUGCUGAUGACCCGCUCCUUUCACUCUGCCGUUGGAGGCACAAAUUACACCCAUCAUACCUCGGAUUCCAACGACCCACGGUGUGCUAUCAGAAAAUGAGCAUGGUUAUAUACCACCGGCAGGUUCAAGGUGUCACAACACAAUUAUACAAUCAUGCAACCUGACGAGCUCUGACUGGUCGCCGUUGUAUGACAACUAAGCUGGAGGGCCACGCUGUCUGUCACAUCCAGGCGGGUAAGAUAAGUUCACUGUGCCUCAGAGACUGCUUUGCUCUAUCUAAAUCAGUUAAAUAUCACACAGCUGCUGCAGUCUGCGGUGAUUCUAUUUUUUUGGGGGGAAGCAUAAAGACCCAAAUCUGAACUUAUCUUUGACUUUUUACUCAGCACAGCAAAUUGAGCCUGCUGAAUUUGUAAAAAAAAAAAACAUAAAUCAAAGUGAUAUAACGUUGGCAGAUAAAAUUAAGUUGUCAAUGAGGAAAGUUAAAAAUCGUAUACGUACUGCAGUGGUGUGCAGCAGCUCACUGUGACUUUCAAUCAACCCUAAUCCCUGUGUCUCAUAAAACUUAGACCAAAAAAAAUGAAGGGAAGCUCCCCUGCCUGGAUCCCCAGUGUGAUCUCAGUGUCAAGCCAUUAGGCUGUGUGAAAUGAGGUGCCACUCAUGAGUUAUAAUGCUGCACAUCUAUAGAUGCAAUGGCAAAAUAUAGCCCUCCAAUGCUCAGUCCUCUGUUGGAGUUGGGAAAAUAAUUCUGCUCUGAUAGCGGUCCAUCUCCCAAUAUCCCAAUUCAAAUUCACACAGAUAUGAAGAGGGCUGUUGGAUAAAUUCAAAAUAAUCCACUUCAGGAUAGCUGUGAGAUUAAUGGGAAAAUGUGUGCGUUUGCUGGUGUGUCUUUCUGCACGAGCAAAGGUAUAUGUGUGAGAAUGCAGACUGAUGAAUACAAUACAUCAACACAACUUUUACAUACUGCAGGAUGAUAUUCCUAAUAAGAUUAUCAACCUCAGCCAUGAAAAGAAAUGACACACGUAUGAGAAAAAUGACAGCGAUGUUUGCUCUCAGAAGGAUGAAAAUGCCCAAACUAUUCCUUUAGAGCCAACAGAGACGUUGGAUAUGAGCUUUCAGAAAAUCUAUUUAUGGGGUACAGUACUUCAUUGUAUUCAGUUUGAAAGCACAUCAACAGAAGACACACAUCUCUUUAACCAGUUGUUACAGAAUUGCAAUAAAUUAAACUUAUACUGACUACUUCUAUACUUGAAGGCACAUAACAAAAGCAUGCUAGCAGCAGUCUGAUCUACUGAAAUAUUUACCCAGAGGUACUGUAGAUGUAACAAUGAUAAGGAAAUAAAGCUAAUAAGUGUCACUUUGAUAUGACAACAAAUUAUACAUGGUUCUAUCAGAUCUCAUUUCCAUUCCACAACACAGAGACAGAGAAUACCCUGAAGCAUGGCUGUUAAUGGGAGCUUCUAUCAGCCAUCGUGGAAAGCCUGCCUCAUUACUCACUCCAGCACAACUGUGCCCAGGGUGGUUGAUUUCCCCAACGGACACUGGUUCACAGACCAGAGAGGCACUGCGAGGCAUGUGACUUGUUUUUCAAUGCGCAGGGCACAGAUGCCGUCAUGCUGCAAGUGUGUGAAAUUGUUUUAUCAGGAACUUAAUUUAAGCAAAAAACAUUUCUGAAUUAAAGAGAAUCCAAAAUAAUA